rnacentral:rRNA from 1 species
AUUGAACGCUGGCGGCAGGCUUAACACAUGCAAGUCGAGCGGGGGAAGGUAGCUUGCUACUGGACCUAGCGGCGGACGGGUGAGUAAUGCUUAAGAAUCUGCCUAUUAGUGGGGGACAACAUCUCGAAAGGGAUGCUAAUACCGCAUACGUCCUACGGGAGAAAGCAGGGGAUCUUCGGACCUUGCGCUAAUAGAUGAGCCUAAGUCGGAUUAGCUAGUUGGUGGGGUAAAGGCCUACCAAGGCGACGAUCUGUAGCGGGUCUGAGAGGAUGAUCCGCCACACUGGGACGGAGACACGGCCCAGACUCCUACCGGAGGCAGCAGUGGGGAAUAUUGGACAAUGGGGGGAACCCUGAUCCAGCCCUGCCGCGUGUGUGAAGAAGGCAUUAUGGUUGUAAAGCACUUUAAGCGAGGAGGAGGCUACUCUAGUUAAUACCUAGGGAUAGUGGACGUUACUCGCAGAAUAAGCACCGGCUAACUCUGUGCCAGCCGCCGCGGUAA